rnacentral:tRNA from 1 species
GGAGAGAUGCCAGAGUGGCCGAUUGGGACGGUCUCGAAAACCGUAGACUCUUCACCGGGUUCGAGGGUUCGAAUCCCUCUCUCUCCU